AUGACAGUCCUGCUUUUCCAUAGGAACAGGAGUCUGGGAAAAAGGAAAACAGUCCUAGAAGCAGAACAAAAGUAUGGGACCACUCAUGGACACUGCUACCAUCUCAUUUGGACAGGUCAUUUCCUAGAUGUGCUGAGUGUGCAAAUUCUGUCUCCUUGUCUCAUCCAGUGUUUCUCUGAAUGGAAGCAAGUAUCUUGGCACCAGCCGUCACUCCACUCAGCUCUUAAGCAGCUUUGACCUUGACGACAUGGAUAUGGAUGAGAACCAAGGAUCCACUUGGCACCUUUGGCCACUUUUGCUUCAGUGAACUGAGUGGGGUGUCCAAGAAGAACCCCUGGUGUUAGGAAGACGUCUAAGAAUGUUCCAAUGAUCCCCGCCUCCUGAUAUCCACACCUUUGGGUAAUUACCCCUCCCCUUGAGAGUAGGCUGGACUUAGUUAUUUGCUUCUGACUAAUAGAAUAAGGGAAAGGUGAUGGGAUGUCAUUUCUGUUAUUAGUUUACAAGAGAUUGUGACUUCUGUCUUGCUGUCAGACUCUCCCCUGGCUUUGAUGAAGCAAGCUUCCAUGUUGGAGAGGCCCACAGGACAAGGAACUGAGGGUUGCCUCCAGCCAACUCCAGCCCACAGCCACCAGGAAUUGAGGAUCUCAGUCCAACAGGCCUUGAGGAGCUGCAUCCUGCCAACAGCUAUAUAUGAGUAAAUAAGUGAGUCUUAUCCAGUCAAGUCUUCAGAUGAGACCCUAACCCAGCUGACACCUUAAUUGCAGCCUUGUGAGAGACCCUGGAGCAGGGAACCCAGGUAGGCCUUGCCUGGACUCCUGACCCACCAAAACUGUGAGUUAAUAUGCGUUUUUUUAAGCCACUAAGUUUUGGGGAAUUUGUUAUACAGCAAUAGAUAACACACCCCUAAAUUACUAAUAGAAUACACCCCUAAAUUACUGUAAUCUUGGAGAAAGAUGUAGCAUGGCUAGAAAGGCAGACACCAAAUAGGAGGACACCCUCCCUGACAGUCUCCCUGGAGAUACUGUCUUCAUGCUCAAAGACUAUCCCACAUCCUCUUAUGCUGCAGUGGUAGCAUUCUGCUCCACUAAGCCCAGAUCAGUCUCCAGGAGGAGAGGCCUAGGUAGUGUUGGGGGGAGUGCAUGGCCAGGAUGGGGUCAUGAAGAGUGAUGAUGAGGUCAUUCUUCCCCUUCUCCUUUUUUCUUCCUUUCCCACUCACUCCAAGAUUACAUUUUCUUUACUCUCUGUCUCUUUUUCCCCCAAGUCCUGGGUGGCUGCCCGAUGACCGUUCCUUCAGUGAGGGCCAGGUGAUCGCUUGGUCUUGCAAUACUGCUAUCAAGCUAGGCAGCCUGAAGAGAUUUGCCUAAGGAGCAGCUCUUCUGAUUCCUCAAGGUUCCUCACAAGCAGGGAGACCUCAUUGUAGAUCUCAAAGUAUACCUUCCAGACUGAUUAACACCCCACAUAUAACAGACUCUUCAGCCAGACCCACCCAGUUCCUAGACCCUGCCCUGGCCACUCCAGUGUCCACAAUUACAAAACCCAUCCAUACACAGCCCCCCAUUGACCGCCCACCUGUGAGAGUCUCUGGAAUCAGCAACUUUUUCUAAAUGAAAAUAAGCCACUGUUUUCAGGAAAAUAUUCGUAUCUCUGAUCCUUUUCAGAGCUACAAGUUCUGUUCUCCCUACUGUUCUGGGAAUGGUAAAGGAAGGGGAAAGGGGAACUGCUCCCCAUUUUCAUUACGGUCAGAUGAGGAGUAGAGACAUGGCCCACACCCCAGACUUCCUGAGGGAGAGAAGGGCUCUGGGGAGCAGGUGACAUUUAUUCCUCACCAAGAGAUUCAAGAGCAACAUUUCCCCCUACCACUCACCUCAGGGCCUAAACACCUCCACACUUCCAAUUCCAAAACUUUCUGAAGCCACAAGGGGGAAUUCUGGCUGUAUUAUUCCAGAGGAAAGCAUCCCACCCUGCAGCUGUGUAUAGUUCAGGAUAGUGAGGGAGCAGAUGGAAAGACGGGUUGAGCCAAGUUCUGGACUUGAAGGGUUUUGCCCACUUUGAAAAGGACUAAAGUUUUUAGAGUAAACUUUUUGUACUUUUUAUGAAAGAAUAAAGUGUUUUAAAUAGAGGACA
rnacentral:lncRNA from 1 species